UUCCCAAAAGGAUCAAUGGUUUCUUAUGAUACAUUUGGGAAAAGCUGGCCUGUUUGAAUAUAGUGUCAGCAGUGAGUGAACGCUUUAUGUGAUCGAUUGGUUCUGUUUUGCAGCAUUUGCGUGUGUUCAGAUAAGCAGGAAAACAGUUAUAUCCUACACAAUUACUCAGCUAACAAA